CUUAAGAAUGUGUUGGCAGCAUGACCCUGACCACUAACAUAUAAAUAAUGGGUUACGCUCCUGUGCAGUUGUUGUCCUCUGUUCUCAUCAGUAGCCUCUGUCUCCACUGGUUUUUAAAGGCAGCUAAAUCCACCAUUCAGGUGGAACAUUGUCUGUGGUAAACUCCUCCAAAAGCCAUUUCAGCUCACAGGUGUCAUCUGAGAUCUUCCAGGAUGUCUAGACGCAGCUGGUAAAUGUGGCAUAGGACCUGUAGCAGAGCUGUUCACGUCAGGAACUUGUAGGGGAGGCUGUCUAAGGGAUUCUGAGGCUUAUGAAGAUUAGGAAAAUGCCUGUGAUGCUCAGAUAUAAUAUCAAACAAGUAUCUAAAGGCACAAUAAUCUAGCAAAGAAUGUAUCUUGCACU